rnacentral:rRNA from 1 species
AAUCAACGCUGGCGGCGUGCCUAACACAUGCAAGUCGAACGAGAAAGUGGAGCAAUCCAUGAGUAAAGUGGCGACCGGGUGAGUAACACGUGACUAACCUACCUCCGAGUGGGGAAUAACUCCGGGAAACCGGGGCUAAUACCGCAUAACAUCGCAAGAUCAAAGCAGCAAUGCGCUUGGAGAGGGGGUCGCGGCUGAUUAGCUAGUUGGUAGGGUAAUGGCCUACCAAGGCGAAGAUCGGUAUCCGGCCUGAGAGGGCGCACGGACACACUGGAACUGAAACACGGUCCAGACUCCUACGGGAGGCAGCAGUGGGGAAUUUUGCGCAAUGGGGGAAACCCUGACGCAGCAACGCCGCGUGGAGGAUGAAGCCCCUUGGGGCAUAAACUCCUUUCGACCAAGACGAUAAU